GUUAAUGUAGCUUACACUAAAAGCAAAGCACUGAAAAUGCUUAGACGGGUAACUAACCCCAUAAACA
rnacentral:tRNA from 2 species